AAGCUGCAUGGACUGGAAAUAUUUUUCAUGAUUCUAAGUGAGGUUUUAGGGAUGCUAACCUCUCAAGCAGGUUACUGGGACUUUCUUCUGAGAUGAUGAGAUCCGACAUC
rfam:Otolemur garnettii contig016951, whole genome shotgun sequence.